rnacentral:rRNA from 1 species
AUACGUAGGGGGCAAGCGUUAUCCGGAUUUACUGGGUGUAAAGGGCGUGCAGGCGGGACUGCAAGUCAGAUGUGAAAGCACGGGGCUCAACUCCGUGUCUGCAUUUGAAACUGCAGGUCUUGAGGGCUGGAGAGGCUAACGGAACUCCUAGUGUAGCGGUGUAAUGCGUAGAUAUUAGGAAGAACACCAGUGGCGAAGGCGGUUAGCUGGACAGUAACUGACGCUGAGGCGCGAAAGCGUGGGUAGCAAACAGGAUUAGAUACCCUGGUAGUCCACGCAGUAAACGAUGGAUACUAGGUGUGCGGGGACUGACCCCCUGCGUGCCGGAGUAAACACAAUAAGUAUCCCACCUGGGGAGUACGAUCGCAAGGUUGAAACUCAAAGGAAUUGACGGGG